UCCGAUAUGGUGUAACGGCUAACAUUACCGCCUUUCAGAGUUCGCGGUAGCUCGGGGUUCGAUUCCCCGUAUCGGAG